rnacentral:rRNA from 1 species
GUAUGAACGGCAAAACCUUUUCCAACUGUCUCCCCUCCCAUCCUUUUAAAUUUCCUCCUGUGUGAAGAAGCACAGAUAUAUCAGAAAGACGAGAAGACCCUGUCGAGCUUUAACCACUAAGUGGGCCUUACCCUUUUCAGGCACCACCUAAAGGUUUUGGUUGGGGCAACCAUGGAGAAAAAAGAUCCUCCAGAACAAAUAGAAGAAAGCUUUUCACUAUUUUACGACUGAGAACCAGGAACUGGUAUUCGGAAAAAGUUACCGCAGGGAUAACAGCGUCAUCUCCUCUAAGAGUCCUUAUUGACGAGGAGGUUUGCGACCUCGAUGUUGGAUUGGGGCCCCCUUAGGGUGCAGAAGCUCUAAACGGUUAGACUGUUCGUCUAUUAAAGCCCUACAUGAUCUGA